rnacentral:rRNA from 1 species
GACGAACGCUGGCGGCGUGCCUAAUACAUGCAAGUAGAACGCAGUUGCGAACGGGUGAGUAACGCGUAGGUAACUGCCUCCUAGCGGGGGAUAACUACUGGAAACGAUAGCUAAUACCGCAUACUGUGAGAUGGACCUGCGUUGUAUUUGCUAGUUGGUGACGUAAAGGCUCGCCAAGGCGACGAUACAUAGCCGACCUGAGAGGGUGAUCGGCCACACUGGGACUGAGACACGGCCCAGAAUCCUACGGGAGGCAGCAGUGGGGAAGCUUAGGCAAUGAAAGGAAGGGUGACGAAGGAACGCCGGGGGAGUGAAGAAGAUUUUAGAAUCGGAAAACUCUGUUGUUAGAAAAGCGGUAACUAACCAGAAAGGGACGGCUGACUACGUGCCAGCAGCCGCGGUAAUUC